rnacentral:misc_RNA from 1 species
AAGAAGGAAACAAGCAAACAAGAAAAGCAAGUUAGCUUUGAAAGCCAUUGCAAUGCACAAUGAGGUUUAGUAGCUUUUGCUCACGAGAUAGUAAGGGCGCAGAGGGGAUGGUAUAUAUAGAGAAGCUGGCCAACUAAAGAAACAAUGAUUUGAAAGGUGGCAAUGUUACAAUUAAAUCACCAAAUCAACUUCCCCAGAUGAACUGAUCUAAGUACGAUCUUAAGGUUUGAAGUCACUUGGCUCAGUGGCACAGUGUCUAUUAUAAUAAUGCACCGAUGAUCAAGAUUUUCCAUGUGCUAACAACUUGAAUUCCAGCAUAUUCUGGGUCCUCGUUCAGGUUUAUCCUGGCCUGGUUUGCACAAUAGAAAAAUAACCAGUAGUUCCAAGAAUGAUAUUUUACUUGCAGAACCACCUUGUGAUUGGCAAACCAACUGGCGUAGUUAAUAUUACCCUAGGUCAACUCGCUUAAAAUUAUUAUAAGAUUCAUUUGGAAGCUCCGUUUAUAGAAGCUUAGAUCAAAUCUUCACCUGUCAAGAUAUCACCUGAUACACUCGUCUUCUGA